UACGGGGGGGGCAAGCGUUGUCCGGAAUUAUUGGGCGUAAAGAGCUCGUAGGCGGUUUGUUGCGUCGGCUGUGAAAUCCCGAGGCUCAACCUCGGGUCUGCAGUCGAUACGAGCAAACUAGAGUGUUGCAGGGGAGACUGGAAUUCCUGGUGUAGCGGUGAAAUGCGCAGAUAUCAGGAGGAACACCGGUGGCGAAGGCGGGUCUCUGGGCAACAACUGACGCUGAGGAGCGAAAGCGUGGGGAGCAAACAGG
rnacentral:rRNA from 1 species